CAAGACCUUGCUNUCUUUGAGCGGCCGAUGUCUGAUUAGCUAGUUGGUGAGGUAAAGGCUUACCAAGGCGACGAUCAGUAGCUGGUCUGAGAGGACGACCAGCCACACUGGGACUGAGACACGGCCCAGACUCCUACGGGAGGCAGCAGUGGGGAAUUUUGGACAAUGGGGGAAACCCUGAUCCAGCCAUGCCGCGUGAGUGAAGAAGGCCUUCGGGUUGUAAAGCUCUUUCAGCCGGAACGAAACGGUCACGGCUAAUACCUGUGACUACUGACGGUACCGGAAGAAGAAGCACCGGCUAACUACGUGCCAGCAGCCGCGGUAAUACGUAGGGUGCAAGCGUUAAUCGGAAUUACUGGGCGUAAAGCGUGCGCAGGCGGUUUUGUAAGUCAGAUGUGAAAUCCCCGGGCUUAACCUGGGAACU
rnacentral:rRNA from 1 species